UGGGUAGUCCGCACGAGCGCACCUUGUCAUUAGUUGCUACGAAAGGGCACUCUAAUGAGACUGCCGGUGACAAACCGGAGGAAGGUGGGGAUGACGUCAAGUCCUCAUGGCCCUUAUGGGUAGGGCUUCACACGUCAUACAAUGGUCGGUACAGAGGGUUGCCAAGCCGCGAGGUGGAGCCAAUCCCAGAAAACCGAUCGUAGUCCGGAUCGCAGUCUGCAACUCGACUGCGUGAAGUCGGAAUCGCUAGUAAUCGCGGAUCAGAAUGCCGCGGUGAAUACGUUCCCGGGUCUUGUACACACCGCCCGUCACACCAUGGGAGUGGGUUCUACCAGAAGUGGCUAGUCUAACCGCAAGGAGGACGGUCACCACGGUAGGAUUCAUGACUGGGGUGAAGUCGUAACAAGGUAGCCGUACCGGAAGGUGCGGCUGGAUCACCUCCUUUCU
rnacentral:rRNA from 1 species